AGUUUAUAGGAGAAUGGAUCUCCAGGGGCUCUCCUCCUGAGAAUGCACCUUCCCAGGGUGCAUUACAGUCUGGAAACAGUGACAGUGCUAGCAGGGAAUCAGCGGUGGGAUGCACCCUUUUCUUCUACCAGCCAAAGUCAACAGCAAGUCAGAGAUCUCAAAGGUGUGCAAUUAAGGAAUUUCCAUAAGAAUUUCUAUUUCCAUAAGAAAUGAUAGAUUUAUACAAGCGAGGAUCCACAGUCUGGAAAAGUCUGCAAGUGAGUGCCUGUGUACUUGAAACUGAGGCAAUUCAUGUUGAGUAAUGGGAAUCUCAGGAAGACUCCUUUCUUUUAUUCUGCAACUGAGCUAAAAAAAGUGUUCUUCUCA